CAGUCGCCGCGGUAAUACGAAGGGUGCAAGCGUUAAUCGGAAUUACUGGGCGUAAAGCGUGCGUAGGCGGUGAGUUAAGUCUGCUGUGAAAUCCCCGGGCUCAACCUGGGAAUGGCAAUGGAUACUGGCAAGCUAGAGUGUGUCAGAGGAUGGUGGAAUUCCCGGUGUAGCGGUGAAAUGCGUAGAGAUCGGGAGGAACAUCAGUGGCGAAGGCGGCCAUCUGGGACAACACUGACGCUGAGGCACGAAAGCGUGGGGAGCAAACAGGAUUAGAUACCCGCGUAGUCCCUGUCUCUUAUAC
rnacentral:rRNA from 1 species